rnacentral:tRNA from 1 species
GCAGGUAGAGCUCAGUGGUAGAGCGUGUGCUUAGCAUGCACAGGUUCCUGGGUUCAAUCCCCAGUACCUAUG